CCAUAGCUCGGUCGGUAGAACAUGAGACUCUUAAUUUCAGGGUCCUGGGUUCAAGUCCCAUGUUGGGCGA